rnacentral:misc_RNA from 1 species
GAUGAAGAAUGUAGCGAAAUGCGAUACUUGGUGUGAAUUGCAGAAUCCCGUGAACCAUCGAGUCUUUGAACGCAAGUUGUGCCCGAAGCCACUAGGCCGAGGGCACGCCUGCCUGGGUGUCACACGUCGUUGCCCCCCCCCCAUCUACUCCUUCGGGAUUGCGGGGGGCGGAUGAUGGCCUCCCGUGCGCCUAGCCGCGCGGUUGGCAUAAAUACCAAGUCCUCGGCGACGCACGCCACGACAAUCGGUGGUUGCGAAACCUCGGUUGCCCGUCGUGUGCGUUCGUCGCGCAUCGAGGGCUCGAAAAAAUGCUCGGCUCCGGCUCGGCUUUCAACGCGACCCCAGGUCAGGCGGGGUUACCCGCUGAAUUUAAGCAUAUCAAUAAGCGGAGGA